GACGAACGCUGGCGGCGUGCUUAACACAUGCAAGUCGAACGGAAAGGCCUGCUUUCCCUUGUGGAUUGCGGGUACUCGAGUGGCGAACGGGUGAGUAACACGUGAGUGAUCUGCCCCCAACUUGGGUAUAAGCCUGGGAAACUGGGUCUAAUUCCCGAUAGGACUGCAGGGUGGUGCCUGUGGUGGAAAACGAUUUUCUAGUGGUUGGGGAUGAGCUCGCGGCCUAUCAGCUUGUUGGUGGGGUAAUGGCCUACCAAGGCGGCGACGGGUAGCCGGCCUGAGAGGGUGGACGGCCACAUUGGGACUGAGAUACGGCCCAGACUCCUACGGGAGGCAGCAGUGGGGAAUAGUGCACAAUGGGCGGAAGCCUGAUGCAGCGACGCCGCGUGGGGGAUGACGGCCUUCGGGUUGUAAACUCCUUUCGACCGCGAGGAAGCCACCUGGUGGGAAGGGUGGUGACGGUAGUGGUAGAAGAAGCACCGGCUAACUACGU
rnacentral:rRNA from 1 species